rnacentral:rRNA from 1 species
UACGGAGGGGACUAGCGUUGUUCGGAAUUACUGGGCUUAAAGCGCACGUAGGCGGAUUUGCUAGUCAGGGGUGAAAUCCCGAGGCUCAACCUCGGAACUGCCUUUGAUACUGCAAAUCUCGAGUCCGGAAGAGGUGAGUGGAAUUCCUAGUGUAGAGGUGAAAUUCGUAGAUAUUAGGAAGAACACCAGUGGCGAAGGCGGCUCACUGGUCCGGUACUGACGCUGAGGUGCGAAAGCGUGGGGAGCAAACAGG